rnacentral:rRNA from 1 species
CCUACGGGUGGCAGCAGUGAGGAAUAUUGGUCAAUGGGCGAGAGCCUGAACCAGCCAAGUCGCGUGAGGGAGUACUGCCCUAUGGGUUGUAAACCUCUUUUGUCGGGGAGCAAAAGCCGGACGUGUCCGGCCGUGAGAGUACCCGAAGAAAAAGCAUCGGCUAACUCCGUGCCAGCAGCCGCGGUAAUAGGGAGGCGGCGGGCGUUAUCCGGAUUUAUUGGGGUUAAAGGGUGCGCAGGCGGAUUUUUAAGUUAGCGUGCAAAUCGUGGGGCUAAACCCCAUCCAGCCGUUGAAACUGGGGAUCUAGAGUGUGCGAGAGGUAUGCGGAAGGCGUGGUGUAGCGGUGAAAUGCAUAGAUAUCACGCAGAACCCCGAUUGCGAAGGCAGCAUACCGGUGCACAACUGACGCUCAGGAACGAAAGCGUGGGUAUCGAACAGGAUUAGAUACCCGAGUAGUC